UAGUAGAUAAUAGGUUAUAUUGAUAACUCUUAUUCAAAAAUAAUUCAGCCAGUGUCAUGAGAAUGAUCCUUAAUUGCUAGAGCAGAGACUACGAUGGAUAUUAUGUGGGGGAAUAGAUUCUGUUGGGUCUGAGAUUUAUCUUUAAGGGGACAAAGGCCACCAGCUCACCUAAAUGAUAGACCUGAAAUGUCUUUUUUUGAUCGAUUUUCAUCAUGAUGGCUAAAAGGAUGAUUACACACUCACUGACUGAUCAUAUCCAGAGAUCCUGCUAGUGUUGGGGUAUCCUAUUUCAAAUACUGAGAGGUCAGCAUCACAAAGACUCUGUGCCAGGACCCCUGAGGACAGACCCACAAACAUGUCACGGCGCAUCUGCACCACAGCCAUCCCUGCCACUCACGCUGGCCUCUCAGCCCCCCGAUGAGGCCCUUACCAGAUGCAAGUUUGAUCUCCAGGGCGGUGCGGAUCAGAGCCAUCAGCGUGGAAGUGAAAUGAACAGUGUUGUCGUCCGCAAUCGGCAUGUUCAUCUUUACCAGUCGCUGAAGAAAAGAGAGGAUUUCAAAAAAUAUAAAGAUAAUGACAGAAAUAGUAUUUUAAUAAGAAAACAGUGAUAGCUUUUAAACUGUUUUACAAAAAAAAAACUUCCAUCAGAGAACCACUAACCAGCAAACACUUCUAUCUCCCUCCAAGAACAAAAUCUGACUUUGUUUGGCUAAGUCAGACGUUUUCUGCCAGAAGAAUAAAGCGAUCACAGUAAAGGUGGUUUCUUGUUUGAGAGUUUUGUUGCACCUGCUCUGUUUCCUGUCUCCUCACUUUAAAAAUGGCCACAUCAAACAAAAGUCCAAACAAAGAAGUACAUUUGAAUAAAUCAACUGUUUUCUCCAUCUGGCGUUAGUUGCUGCUUCUGUUGCUAUGACACCGCUGUCAUAGCAACGCUGCAGUGUCACAGUUUCCUACACCCACUUUCUCCUGUUUGGGCCUGCAGGGGUCUGGGGGCGGAGUGAAAUCUGGACGGUUUAAAGUUCAUCACAGAGAGAACCAAAAAAGAUGAGGAAAGAGAAAGAGCAGGCGAUGGUGCAAACACCACCCAGCUCCAAAGCCUCCCGCCUGGUUCAGGGUAGAUCAUCAGCCCCCGUUCUCUUUAUUUUGGUUUCUUUUCUUUUAACUUGUCCUGUCUAACAGCUGAGCAAACAGAUACGAGAAAACUGGAUCAGUCAUUCCACGUCUAAAGAAGGAAACCAGAACUAUCUGCUUCUUCAUGCAAAGCAUGACAACAAAAGAGUCUCGACAUCUCAUUGUCUGCAGAAGCAUUGAAGCAGCACUUUCACUGUCGGCUCCUGAACAUUAUUUUUUGAGAAAGUGUGCAAAGAUGUUCCAGAGGGAGAAAAAAAGAAUUUAUAUGAAUUUAAAAAAGAAAAAGCUUAUGAAACCACCCUGAGUUCUACUUUGGUUAUUUUUUGACAGGAACAAUUUUUUUUCCUUCAUCUUUUUAAUGAAAAGUGACGACUGUCUGACAGCUCUGAUGAGAAAUUCCUGCACACGCCUGUUUGAAUUCAGAGCACAGCUGCAGGUCAAACGCACAACUGAUGCUCGGCGGUUUCUUCAAGUGGAUGUGAAACGGAUUUAAAAAAAAAAAAA